CUUCGCCAUUUUAUUUUGGAAGUGAGCAAUAAAGAUGUACGCGUUACAUUCGUUUUUAAAUCCAAGUUCAAUCAAGGCUUGGAUUCCACCGGAUUUGUUUGAAGUUCUUCGACUGGAGGAUCUCACUCUGCCGAAAGAAAAACAGAAAGAAUCUUCCGUAGCGUCAUCUGUUUCGUCGUCAGCUUGUAGAUGGUACCGGACACCUUACCUCUGCGAAAAAAUAUUUCCAGAUACGGAACGGGCACGCAUCGAUAAAAACAGCAAUCCGCGUCGACCAGCUGAUAUGUUUGCCUGGCGCAUGAUUGAGUGUGAUGCCCAUCGUCGUCAGCGACCCUCGGAUUAGUGCUACCCAGCCAUGACUCCACUCCGACACCCGUUUGCCACCCGCUAAGACUCAACUUCAGCAAAAACAUUCAAAAUGUGUGUCUAUCAAUUCAUGACAACCUGUAUCUGCAUCGGAUGCAACGGUUUUUAUCCAGCUGUAUGGCGGCUGUCGAAAUUUUAGUUCCGCUGGAAGUUCACAUAGAAUAGAGGCUUGGGCAAAUGGAUAACAACCGUGACCAUGAAAAUUGCAACAGCUGUAUGCUCCCGUGGAAACGAUUGUCUGCCAGACAGAAGAGAAGUGACAACUCAAAG